rnacentral:rRNA from 1 species
UACAGAGGGUGCAAGCGUUAAUCGGAAUUACUGGGCGUAAAGGGCGCGUAGGCGGCCUUCUAAGUCGAACGUGAAAUCCCCGGGCUCAACCCGGGAACUGCGUCCGAUACUGGAAGGCUUGAAUCCGGGAGAGGGAUGUGGAAUUCCAGGUGUGGCGGUGAAAUGCGUAGAUAUCUGGAGGAACACCGGUGGCGAAGGCGACAUCCUGGACCGGUAUUGACGCUGAGGCGCGAAAGCCAGGGGAGCAAACGGG